ensembl:snRNA U6 U6 spliceosomal RNA
GCACUCACUUUGGCAGCACACAUACUAAAAUUGGAUUAGCAUGGCCCCUGUGCAAGGAUAACAUGCAAAUUCUUAAAGCAUUCCAUGUAUUU